rnacentral:rRNA from 1 species
GGGCCCGCACAAGCGGUGGAGCAUGUGGUUUAAUUCGAUGCAACGCGAAGAACCUUACCUACUCUUGACAUCCAUAGAACUUUUCAGAGAUGAAUUGGUGCCUUCGGGAACUAUGAGACAGGUGCUGCAUGGCUGUCGUCAGCUCGGUGUUCGUGAAAUGUUGGGUUAAGUCCCCGCAACGAGCGCAACCCUUAUCCUUGUUUGCCAGCACUUCGGGUGGGAACUCCAGGGAGACUGCCGGUGAUAAACCGGAGGAAGGUGGGGACGACGUCAAGUCAUCAUGGCCCUUACGAGUAGGGCUACACACGUGCUACAAUGGCGCAUACAGAGGGCAGCCAACUUGCGAAAGUGAG